AUGAAGAUUUUCGGAUCGUAAACUCCUGUCGAAUGGGACGAAAAGGUUGCGGGUUAAUACUCCGCGAUCCUGACGGUACCGUUAAAGGAAACCCCGGCUAACUCCGUGC
rnacentral:rRNA from 1 species